rnacentral:rRNA from 1 species
CUACGGGUGGCUCCAGGCGCGAAACCUUUACAAUGCACGACAGUGUGAUAAGGGGAUCCUAAGUGCUCACGCACUGCGUGGGCUUUUGCCAAGAGUAAAUAUCUUGGAGAAUAAGUGGUGGGUAAGACUGGUGCCAGCCGCCGCGGUAACACCAGCGCCACGAGUGGCAACCGCGUUUAUUGGGCCUAAAGCGUUCGUAGCAGGAAAAAUAAAUCCUUUGUGAAAUCGUUGUGCUUAACAUAACGGCGUGCAGAGGAGACUGUUUUUCUUGAGACCGGGAGGAGUUAGAAGUAUUCUAGGGGGAGCGGUAAAAUGUUAUAAUCCCUGGAGGACUACCUAUGGCGAAGGCAUCUAACUAGAACGGAUCUGACUGUGAGGAACGAAAGCCAGGGGAGCAAACCGGAUUAGAUACCCCGGUAGUC